rnacentral:rRNA from 1 species
GACGAACGCUGGCGGCGUGCUUAACACAUGCAAGUCGAACGGAAAGGCCCUGCUUUUGUGGGGUGCUCGAGUGGCGAACGGGUGAGUAACACGUGAGUAACCUGCCCUUGACUUUGGGAUAACUUCAGGAAACUGGGGCUAAUACCGGAUAGGAGCUCCUGCUGCAUGGUGGGGGUUGGAAAGUUUCGGCGGUUGGGGAUGGACUCGCGGCUUAUCAGCUUGUUGGUGGGGUAGUGGCUUACCAAGGCUUUGACGGGUAGCCGGCCUGAGAGGGUGACCGGCCACAUUGGGACUGAGAUACGGCCCAGACUCCUGCGGGAGGCAGCAGUGGGGAAUAUUGCACAAUGGGCGGAAGCCUGAUGCAGCAACGCCGCGUGCGGGAUGACGGCCUUCGGGUUGUAAACCGCUUUCGACUGUGACGAAGCGUGAGUGACGGUAAUGGGUAAAGAAGCACCGGCUAACUACGUG